rnacentral:rRNA from 1 species
UGGGGAAUAUUGCGCAAUGGCCGAAAGGCUGACGCAGCGACGCCGCGUGGGGGAUGAAGCAUUUCGGUGUGUAAACCCCUGUUGCCCGGGACGAACAAGCAGAUUUUUCUGCUCUGACGGUACCGGGUGAGGAAGCACCGGCUAACUCCGUGCCAGCAGCCGCGGUAAUACGGAGGGUGCGAGCGUUGUCCGGAAUCACUGGGUUUAAAGGGUGCGUAGGCGGAUAUGUAAGUCAGUGGUGAAAUCAACGGGCUCAACCUGUUAACUGCCAUUGAUACUGUGUACCUUGAAUAUGAGAGAGGUAGGCGGAAUGUUGCAUGUAGCGGUGAAAUGCUUAGAUAUGCUACGGAACACCGAUUGCGAAGGCAGCUUACUAUUUCGUAAUUGACGCUGAGGCACGAAAGCGUGGGUAGCGAACA